rnacentral:rRNA from 1 species
UACGGGGGGAGCAAGCGUUGUUCGGAUUUACUGGGCGUAAAGGGCGCGUAGGCGGCCACCGCAAGUCGACUGUGAAAUCUCCGGGCUUAACUCGGAAAGGUCAGCCGAUACUGCGGGGCUAGAGUGCAGAAGGGGCAACUGGAAUUCUCGGUGUAGCGGUGAAAUGCGUAGAUAUCGAGAGGAACGCCUGCGGCGAAGGCGGGUUGCUGGGCUGACACUGACGCUGAGGCGCGAAAGCUAGGGGAGCGAACGGG